rnacentral:rRNA from 1 species
UACGUAGGGGGCAAGCGUUGUCCGGAAUCAUUGGGCGUAAAGCGCGUGUAGGCGGCUUGGUAAGUCCGCUCUGAAAGCCCGGGGCUCAACCCCGGGAGGCGGGUGGAUACUGUCAAGCUCGCGUCCGGAAGAGGCGAGUGGAAUUCCUGGUGGAGCGGUGAAAUGCGCAGAUAUCGGGAAGAACACCCGUGGCGAAGGCGGCUCACUGGACCAUAACUGACGC